rnacentral:ncRNA from 1 species
CCGUUUCAAUGUUCAUCUGCUGACGAGUAGAUGCCCAGAGCGGCGAAACGGACACAAGUAAAUAUCAGUCAACCCACUGGGACGGUUGGCCAGUUAAGAAGUGAGGAUUCAUUCUUAUGGCCAAUUAUCAUGGGAUGUCCUGCGUGGAUUCUCA